rnacentral:rRNA from 1 species
UACAGAGGUCUCGAGCGUUAGGCGGAAUCACUGGGCUUAAAGCGUGUGUAGGCGGGUCGUUAAGUGCCUUGUGAAAUCCCAUGGCUCAACCAUGGAACUGCUGGGCAUACUGGCGAUCUUGUGCAACCUAGGGGCGAGCGGAACAGAUGGUGGAGCGGUGAAAUGCGUAGAUAUCAUCUGGAACGCCAAUGGCGAAGGCAGCACUCUGGGACGUGACUGACGCUGAGACGCGAAAGCGUGGGGAGCAAACAGG